rnacentral:rRNA from 1 species
UGCCCUCGGGACGGGAAUACCCCCGGGAAACUGGGGCUAAUCCCCGAUAGGUGAAGAACUCUGGAAUGAUUCUCCGCCCAAAAGACGCUUAAAUCAUGCUUUUAGGCGCCGCCCAAGGAUGGGGCCGCGACCGAUCAGGUAGUUGGUGAGGCAACGGCUCACCAAGCCUUUAACCGGUGCGGGCCGUGGGAGCGGAAGCCCGGAGAUGGGCACUGAGACAAGGGCCCAGGCCCUACGGGGCGCAGCAGUCGCGAAAACUUUGCAAUACACGAGAGUGUGACAGGGCUAUCCCGAGUGCCAUCCGCUGAGGAAGGCUUUUACCCAGUAUAGAAAGCUGGGAGAAUAAGGAGAGGGCAAGCCUGGUGUCAGCCGCCGCGGUAAUACCAGCUCUCCGAGUGGUGUGGAUGUUUAUUGGGCCUAAAGCAUCCGUAGCUGGCCAAGUUAGUCCCCUGUUAAAUCCACCGAAUUAAUCGUUGGAGUGCGGGGGAUACUGC